UAUUAUGCCCCAAUUAAUGUUGCCAAUUUACAUACAACAACAGGAUAAACAUUUUUAAAGCGUUGUCAAUUACCUGAAAAUUUUGUCUUGUCGACAUUCCGUCUCGGCCGACGUCGGCGUUCAUCAAAUUCGGCCCAAUUAGUCCCGAAAUGGCCGCUCGACGGUGCAUUGGUGCAAAGGGAGUUGCCUCCAGAACAGCCCGUUGGUUCGGCGUGCAGUUGGCGAUCUUGAAAGUCCAAAAUUAUCGCUGGGUUCGACGACGCUGACUGCUGAUUUACUCAACUGGCUGCUAGAUAGUUAGCCGUGCAGGCUUAGCUCAGUUCGAAAUAUUAUAUCCAUGGUAGAAGAGUGACGAGAAUGUCUGCAUCACAGUUUUGAGGUUCCGUGUUCUGGUAUGGGCUCCAGCCUCCCUACAUGGCCUUCGCAUGAUCUCCGGGGCUUCUGCAGGUGCAGGCUCCCGCCGUUGCGGGUGGACCUCGCAGAUGGACACACUCCCAUGCCAGAAGCCAGACGCCGUCGGAUGGCAUUCGUCGCCUCUCACAUGACAUUUAGCAGCGCCCUUUCUCACCACCUUCCCUACAUCCUAAACACCUCCCAACCUUCCUUUCCUUCCUUGCUCCCUUCAUUCCUUCCAUCGCUGUUUCCAUCUUCCCAUCAUUCCCUACUUCCUUCCUUAUGCCUGUUUCCUAUUUUACUCCUUCCUUCCUUCCUUCCUUCUUUGCUGCCUUCCUACAUACGUCCCUGCCUACCUCUCCCUUAGUUUCCUCUUUCCUUCCCUCUUUACCUCCUUCCUGCC